UGGGUUGUUAUCAAUAAUAAACCAACCACUAUAUAUAGCGGUAUCUGUACUACAGUAUUAACAGUUGCAAUUUUCCAUUGUUGGUUCAUUGAUGACCACAAUCACGAGGAUCCACUUUGUUUCAAGAUUCCCGUUCAAGCCACAUUUAUGUGGGAUGUCCCAGUACUUGCAUCUUGUGAACUAUGUUUCUGCUGAAAUUUGGUGCAAAGACAGUGAGAAGCUUGCACUCCUCGACUUCAAGUAAGAGAAAGAUGGUUGCCUUUGGAAAGAAGUUGAAAGACAGAGAACUUCAAGAAUGGCAGGGAUAUGUAUGUCUCUGCCUAUAUGUUGAGGAUAUUAUAUAAACU